CAAAUGUGUUGAAAGUUCUUUUAACACCUUUUCAACACAAGCUGGCGGGAUAAACAAAACCCUAAAUCACCUUUCAAAUUUCAAACCCAUUUCUCCCUCUCUCAAAUUCCCAAAAACCUAGAUCUAGAUUUUCUCUGUCUUUCUCUUUCUGUAUUCAGAAAUCAAUGAAGAAGAACAUCGUUCCUGCUGAUCUAGGGUUCAACCCCCAUCAUCAACCCUCAUCUUCAACCCUCAUCUCUUCCUUCGUUCUCCUUCUCACUCUCUCUCGCAAACAGAGAAGAGGACUCAAACUGUAUACACAAAUCUCAGAACGAGUUAACCAGAUGAAGAUGAAGUGAGGAAGAUGAAGAUGACAAUACUUUGCAGAUCUGAGAUUUCUAGCUACAUUAAGUAGUUUUACAUUCAGAUCUGAGUCUUUUACAUUCAAAUCUGAUGGGUUUGCGUUCAGAUAUGACUGCUUCUACAGUUUCACAUUUCAUCUGACUGCUUCUGCAGUCUGCUUUGUGGUAGAAGGUUUCAUGGUCAAGGCUAUGGUUGAGGCAUAAAAAUUCAGAUCUUUAAAUAUAAUCUCAGAAAUAAUUUCGCAAGUUUGUGUCACUGUUGCUUUGGUGAGGAGAAAAAUAUGAAUGUGGCUGCAUAUGAUUGGAGACUCUCAUUUCAAAACACAGAGGUAGAUUGCUUUGGGUUUAACUUUCUCUUUAGAGGUGGCAAGGUGGACGAGUUUGGUAACACGAUAAAAGGAGCCAUGGCGAGUAUAAUUAUAAACACCGUUUCCCCAACAAUUAUGAUUGCAAUUAAUAAUUAGUGUGUUACUCGUGGUAACAAAAAAUUAUCAGUUUCUUAUUUGAUGCUUGUUUGUAGGUACUGAAGACAUUAAUAAGUGAAUACAUGUUUGUUUUGUUCUUGCUUGGUAGAGAAAUUGAUUGGCAGGAUAAGGUUUGAGCUGUGAAGAGGAUAAGAGAGCUCCAAGCCACACGUUAUAUCAGAGUUCUUGCAGAGAAAUUGAUUGGCAGGAUAAGAGUAUGAAGGCCAUUGAAAGCUCUAACUUCACCAUAAGUGCUUAGAAUGCUACCGUUAAACAAGCAGUUAGGAAUGAUGGAGAUUCAGAAAAAGGUUAUGCAAAUCGAAGCUGCGAAGCCUAAGAGAAGGGUUAAGAUGAUCUAGAUCUGCCAUCACUUCGCGAUUCACCAUAAGGGAGAAACGGAGAGCCUACAAAGCCCUAGCCGACAAGCUGUAGAUCUAGAUCGGAAGCUGUAGAUGGUGGUAGAGGAGAAAGGGAGCUCACGGUCAGAAAAGGAGCGACUUUCAUAUUUCAGCCAUUUGAGUUAGCGAGUAAUUGUGCUGAGGUACUUUGCUGUCGAGUUGCUCCAUUGCAGAAAGCUGGGAUUGUGGCACUGAUAAAGAAAAGGACAGAUGACAUGACUCUUGCCAUUGGGGAUGAAGGACGCAAGGACCUUUUUGACUGGUUGUCGAGGUAACUUACAGGAUUAGCAGAGUUCCCUGAUGCCAUUCAGUUACUGAGACCAGUUGCUGUUGCUAUGACGGAUAAAUCAGCAGAUGUUCUUAAAGCAGUAGAGGCGUGCAUUGGGGAUAUUGUCAGAGUUUGUGGACCAGAAAUGGUCAUGAAGAAUGUAAGAGAUAUUCAAGUCCCGCGCUGGCAAUUGUUCUUGAAUGAUUGAAGACACAGGGUGCAUUUCCAGAAGUGCAUGAGAACACCAGAACAGUCCCAGCUGGACAAACAUCGAAAACAGGUUCAAAGAUUGGCAAACCAAAUGGUCAUGCAUCAAGGCAUGGAAGC